GAUGAAUGCUAGCGGCAGGCCUAAUACAUGCAAGUCGAACGGUGUCUCCGGACAUAGUGGCGCACGGGUGCGUAACACGUAUGCAACCUACCUUACAUUGGGGGAUAGCCUUUCGAAAGGGAGAUUAAUACCGCAUAAGACAGUAGCUGGGCAUCCAGCAGCUGUUAAAGAUUUAUCGAUGUAAGCUGGGCAUGCGUCCAAUUAGCUAGUUGGUGAGGUAACGGCUCACCAAGGCAAUGAUUGGUAGGGGAACUGAGAGGUCAAUCCCCCACACUGGCAAUGAUGUACGGGCCAGACUCCUACGGGAGGCAGCAGUAGGGAAUAUUGGGCAAUGGACGCAAGUCUGACCCAGCCAUGCCGCGUGCAGGAUGAAGGCGUUAUGCGUUGUAAACUGCUUUUAUACAGGAAGAAACGACUCUUGCGAGAGGCAUUGACGGUACUGUAUGAAUAAGCACCGGCUAACUCCGUGCCAGCAGCCGCAGUAAAAC
rnacentral:rRNA from 1 species